rnacentral:tRNA from 2 species
GCCCCGGUAGCUCAGUCGGAUAGAGCACCAGAUUCCUAAUCUGGGGGUCCCAUGUUCGAAUCAUGGUCGGGGCGCCA